rnacentral:rRNA from 1 species
UACGUAGGGUGCAAGCGUUGUCCGGAAUUAUUGGGCGUAAAGAGCUCGUAGGCGGUCUGUCGCGUCGGAUGUGAAAAUCCAGGGCUCAACCCUGGACCUGCAUUCGAUACGGGCAGACUAGAGUUCGGUAGGGGAGACGUGGAAUUCCUGGUGUAGCGGUGAAAUGCGCAGAUAUCAGGAGGAACACCGGUGGCGAAGGCGGGUCUCUGGGCCGAAACUGACGCUGAGGUGCGAAAGCGUGGGGAGCAAACAGG